rnacentral:rRNA from 1 species
AUGGCGGUUUUGUUGAAGCUUUAUGUGGGUGAUGGCAGAGGAUUUGGGAAGUUAAACAAAGCACAUAUUAUCCUCAUCCCCAAGAAGCCGGAUGCUGAGGAGAUUGGGGACUUUUGGCCUAUCAGCUUAACUCACAGCAUGCCCAAGCUGUUUGCCAAAGUUCUUGCCAACCGGCUCAGAAAACAGAUGCAUUUGAUCGUCGAGGCCAACCAAUCAGCUUUCAUCAAGGGCAGGCACCUCCAUGACAACUUCCUCCUCGUACGACAAAUUGCCAGGAAGAUCCACACAAGGAAGAGGGCCGGUGUGUUCUUAAAACUUGAUAUCUCACGGGCCUUUGAAUCCCUUUCAUGGCCAUUCCUCUUUGAGAUCUUGACUGCUAAAGGCUUUGGCUCGCGCUGGAAGACUUGGGUGGCAAUCCUACUGCAGUCCGCAACAACCAAGGUGAUAGUAAGCGGGGUGACCGGGAAGAGUUUUGGCCACGCAUGUGGGCUGCGUCAGGGGGAUCCUAUCUCCCUGCUACUCCUCAUCGUCGCUAUGGAUGCUCUCACGAAGCUAAUACAGAGAGCUAUGGAGGUGGGUGUGCUUAGCUCCUUCAACGGCAUCACGGCCAUGCAAAGAAUCUCCAUAUACGCUGAUGACGUGGCUCUGCUCAUGAAACCCUCAGCCAUGGAUUUGAGCUUUCUGAAGGAGGCUUUGGAUGCGUUUGGGAAAGCUUCAGGGCUACGGGUGAACUACCGGAAAUCUUCAGCGAUCGUGAUAAGGGGAGACUUGGAGGACAGGCAGAGGGUGGCAACGUUACUGCAGUGUGAUUUG